rnacentral:rRNA from 1 species
ACGAACGCUGGCGGCACGCUUAACACAUGCAAGUCGAACGAGAGAAGAGAAGCUUGCUUUUCUGAUCUAGUGGCGGACGGGUGAGUAACACGUGAGCAAUCUGCCUUUCAGAGGGGGAUACCGAUUGGAAACGAUCGUUAAUACCGCAUAAUAUAAUUGAACCGCAUGAUUUGAUUAUCAAAGAUUUAUCGCUGAAAGAUGAGCUCGCGUCUGAUUAGCUAGUUGGUAAGGUAACGGCUUACCAAGGCGACGAUCAGUAGCCGGACUGAGAGGUUGAUCGGCCACAUUGGGACUGAGACACGGCCCAGACUCCUACGGGAGGCAGCAGUGGGGAAUAUUGCACAAUGGAGGAAACUCUGAUGCAGCGAUGCCGCGUGAGGGAAGAAGGUUUUAGGAUUGUAAACCUCUGUCUUCAGGGACGAAAAAUGACGGUACCUGAGGAGGAAGCUCCGGCUAACUACGUGCCAGCAGCCGCGGUAAUACGUAGGGAGCGAGCGUUGUCCGGAAUUACUGGGUGUAAAGGGAGCGUAGGCGGGAUCGCAAGUCAGAUGUGAAAACUAUGGGCUUAACCCAUAAACUGCAUUUGAAACUGUGGUUCUUGAGUGAAGUAGAGGUAAGCGGAAUUCCUAGUGUAGCGGUGAAAUGCGUAGAUAUUAGGAGGAACAUCAGUGGCGAAGGCGGCUUACUGGGCUUUAACUGACGCUGAGGCUCGAAAGCGUGGGGAGCAAACAGGAUUAGAUACCCUGGUAGUCCACGCCGUAAACGAUGAUUACUAGGUGUGGGGGGACUGACCCCUUCCGUGCCGCAGCAAACGCAAUAAGUAAUCCACCUGGGGAGUACGACCGCAAGGUUGAAACUCAAAGGAAUUGACGGGGGCCCGCGCAAGCGGUGGAUUAUGUGGUUUAAUUCGACGCAACGCGAAGAACCUUACCAAGUCUUGACAUCCUGCGACGGUGCUGGAAACAGUACUUUCCUUCGGGACGCAGAGACAGGUGGUGCAUGGUUGUCGUCAGCUCGUGUCGUGAGAUGUUGGGUUAAGUCCCGCAACGAGCGCAACCCUUACUGUUAGUUGCUACGCAAGAGCACUCUAGCAGGACUGCCGUUGACAAAACGGAGGAAGGUGGGGAUGACGUCAAAUCAUCAUGCCCCUUAUGACCUGGGCCUCACACGUACUACAAUGGCUGUCAACAGAGGGAAGCAAAGCCGCGAGGUGGAGCAAACCCCUAAAAGCAGUCUUAGUUCGGAUUGUAGGCUGCAACCCGCCUACAUGAAGUCGGAAUUGCUAGUAAUCGCAGAUCAGCAUGCUGCGGUGAAUACGUUCCCGGGCCUUGUACACACCGCCCGUCACACCAUGAGAGUCGGUAACACCCGAAGCCGGUGGCCUAACCGCAAGGAAGGAGCUGUCUAAGGUGGGACUGAUGAUUGGGGUG